GAUCAUGGCUCAGGAUGAACGCUGGCGGCGUGCUUAACACAUGCAAGUCGAACGGAGUUUUAACGGAAGUUUCGGAUGGAAGUUUAGAACUUAGUGGCGGACGGGUGAGUAACGCGUGGGUAACCUGCCUCAUACAGGGGGAUAACAGUUAGAAAUGACUGCUAACACCGCAUAAUAUAGCGAAACCGCAUGAUUUUGCUAUCAAAUAUUUAUAGGUAUGAGAUGGGCCCGCGUCUGAUUAGCUAGUUGGUGGGGUAAAAGCCUACCAAGGCGACGAUCAGUAGCCGGCUUGAGAGAGUGACCGGCCACAUUGGGACUGAGACACGGCCCAAACUCCUACGGGAGGCAGCAGUGGGGAAUAUUGGACAAUGGGGGAAACCCUGAUCCAGCGAACCGCCGCGUGAGUGAAGAAGUAUUUCGGUAUGUAAAGCUCUAUCAGCAGGGAAGAUAAUGACAGUACCUGACUAAGAAGCCCCGGCUAACUACGUGCCAGCCGCAGC
rnacentral:rRNA from 1 species